CGCCGCCGCCGCCUCAGCCUGCUGCUCCGCCUGCGCCUCCUGCUCCCGGCGCUCGGCCCCAGCACGCCGGCUCCCGAGCGGCCAUGGGCGGCGCGGGGUCCGCAGUGUAGAGUCCGCCAGUCCCGGACCCGCGUCCCGCACCCUGACGGUCCCGGCAAUUUGAUCUACCCAUGAGAUCAUGAUUGGCAUAGAGGCAAGGCUGUGUCUUGGCGACUGUUAUGUCUAUCAUAGCUCCUGGAAGACAGUUUUUCCAACAGAAGCGCAGAGCACAAUGCCUCUCCAUUAAAGGAAGCACCAGCAAUCCUGUGGACCUCAUAUCUAGAAUUAAAAAUCGAGAAGGUUCUUUCUAGAUAUAUCUCCUAAGGAAAGGGAAACAAAAGCACAAAUAAACUAUUGGGACUACGUCAAAAUGAAAAGCUUCUGCACGGCAAAGGAAACAAUGGACAAAACCAAAAGACAACAU